UACAGAGGUCCCAAGCGUUGUUCGGAUUCAUUGGGCGUAAAGGGUGCGUAGGCGGCCUGUUAAGUCAGGGGUGAAAGACGGUAGCUCAACUAUCGCAGUGCCCUUGAUACUGAUGGGCUUGAAUGGACUAGAGGUAGGCGGAAUGAGACAAGUAGCGGUGAAAUGCAUAGAUAUGUCUCAGAACACCGAUUGCGAAGGCAGCUUACUAUGGUCUUAUUGACGCUGAGGCACGAAAGCGUGGGGAUCAAACAGG
rnacentral:rRNA from 1 species